GAUGAACGCUAGCGGCAGGCCUAAUACAUGCAAGUCGGACGGGAUUUGGGAGCUUGCUCCUAAUGAGAGUGGCGCACGGGUGCGUAACACGUAUGUAACCUACCUUAAUCAGGGGGAUAGCCUCUCGAAAGAGAGAUUAACACCGCAUAAUAUAUUUUUAUGGCAUCGUAGAAAUAUCAAAUAUUUAUAGGAUUAAGAUGGGCAUGAGGAACAUUAGCUAGUUGGUAAGGUAAUGGCUUACCAAGGCUACGAAGUUCAGGGGAUCUGAGAGGACGACCCCCCACACUGGUACACGGAGACGGACCAGACUCCUGCGGGAGGAAGCAGUAAGGAAUAUUGGUCAAUGGGCGCAAGCCUGAACCAGCCAUGCCGCGUGCAGGAAGACGGCCCUAUGGGUUGUAAACUGCUUUUGUACCGGAAUAAACCCUUUUACGUGUAGAAGGCUGAAUGUACGGUAAGAAUAAGGAUCGGCUAACUCCGUGCCAGCAGCCGCCGUAA
rnacentral:rRNA from 1 species